rnacentral:lncRNA from 1 species
UGUUUUACUAUGACAAUAGGGAUAACUCAUCGAUCUAGGAAUAAUUGGUCAAUUAGCUUUCACUUAAGACAUUUCGGAUUGUUAAUUGAGAUUAACGGAUUAAAGUUUAUAUUCCUCAAUUGAUCAUAGAUUACCUAAGACAUUAGGAAUCGAUGAUCAAGGGAGAGGAUUAUGUUACCAAGACAUUGGGCAUAAUCACUUGAGAUUUAAUCUAAUCG